AUUGGAGGGCAAGUCUGGUGCCAGCAGCCGCGGUAAUUCCAGCUCCAAUAGCGUAUAUUAAACUUGUUGCAGUUAAAAAGCUCGUAGUUGAAUUUCUGCGUUAUCGAGUUAUUGACUCUUGUCUUUAAUCGAUUUCGCUUUUGGGAUUUAUCCCUUUUUACUUUGAGAAAAUUAGAGUGUUUCAAGCAGACUUUUGUCUUGAAUACUUCAGCAUGGAAUAAUAGAGUAGGACUUUGGUUCUAUUUUGUUGGUUUUUGAACCUUAGUAAUGGUUAAUAGGAACGGUUGGGGGCAUUCGUAUUUAACUGUCAGAGGUGAAAUUCUUAGAUUUGUUAAAGACGAACUACUGCGAAAGCAUUUG
rnacentral:rRNA from 1 species